rnacentral:rRNA from 1 species
CAGCAGCCACGGUAAUACCGAGGGUGCAAGCGUUAAUCGGAAUUACUGGGCGUAAAGCGCGCGUAGGUGGUUUGUUAAGUUGGAUGUGAAAUCCCCGGGCUCAACCUGUGAACUGCAUCCAAAACUGGCAAGCUAGAGUAUGGUAGAGGGUGGUGGAAUUUCCUGUGUAGCGGUGAAAUGCGUAGAUAUAGGAAGGAACACCAGUGGCGAAGGCGACCACCUGGACUGAUACUGACACUGAGGUGCGAAAGCGUGGGGAGCAAACAGGAUUAGAUACCCCGGUAGUCCCUGUCUCUUAUAC